rnacentral:rRNA from 1 species
AGUGGGGAAUCUUGCACAAUGCACGAAAGUGUGGUGCAGCAACGCCGCGUGCGGGAAGACGGCCUUCGGGUUGUAAACCGCUUUCAGUUGGGACGAAGGUUCUCUUUGUUAAUAGCCUGUUGGACUGACGGUACCUUCACAAGAAGCCCCGGCUAACUACGUGCCAGCAGCCGCGGUAAUACGUAGGGGGCAAGCGUUGUCCGGAAUCAUUGGGCGUAAAGCGCGUGUAGGCGGCUCGAUAAGUCCGCUGUGAAAGUCCAGGGCUCAACCCUGGGAUGCCGGUGGAUACUGUCGAGCUCGAGUCCGGAAGAGGUGUGUGGAAUUCCUGGUGUAGCGGUGAAAUGCGCAGAUAUCAGGAGGAACACCAAUAGCGAAGGCAGCACACUGGUACGUGACUGACGCUGAGACGCGAAAGCGUGGGGAGCAAACAGGAUUAGAUACCCUGGUAGUCCACGCCGUAAACGAUGGGCACUAGGUGUGGGAGGUGUC